CACCAAUCAGGAUAACGGAGAUAGAGGUCUGUCCCUCCCUAACACCAGCCACAGAAUCUGCAAAGACGAAGACUGUGACUGAUGCAUCUCUCUCUAAUAACUUACUUAGCAGAACUCCAUCCAAGAAGAUUGAAGAGACCGAACCCCAAGACCUAAAGGAGAAAACAGAGGAACAGAUGGAAAAUUUGACGGAUAUUUACGCGGACAAGUUCGAAAGUAGGUCUUCUCUAUACCUCCCUGUCCAGUCACGGAAGAAGAAAAGACGGUAAGCAUGCAACACUGAGCCCAGGAUAUUCUCCAAAACUUACAGGUAUUCCUUGGUUGCCUUCUUUGUCAAGGUGGUAUGUUGUAAGUGAAGAUUUUAUAUGAUACUA
rnacentral:lncRNA from 11 species